UACGUAGGGUGCGAGCGUUAAUCGGAAUUACUGGGCGUAAAGCGUGCGCAGGCGGUCAUGCAAGACAGAUGUGAAAUCCCCGGGCUCAACCUGGGAACUGCAUUUGUGACUGCAUGGCUGGAGUGCGGCAGAGGGGGAUGGAAUUCCGCGUGUAGCAGUGAAAUGCGUAGAUAUGCGGAGGAACACCGAUGGCGAAGGCAAUCCCCUGGGCCUGCACUGACGCUCAUGCACGAAAGCGUGGGGAGCAAACAGG
rnacentral:rRNA from 1 species